AAAAAAAUUGGGUAAAUCAAUGGAGAAUUUAUGAACCUUCUCAUAAUGAUUUCAAAACAUUAUUUUAUGGAUCAACCAAUAAUAGAUCGAGAUCUUUUGGCCCGCUCUAAAAGUGCUUGUGGUUUGGGUUAUGCUCUUGAUAGUCAUUGAUCGAUUGGAGAUGGCGGUGUUGUUGGCUUGAGAUCUACCUUGAUUUUUAUUUUAUAUAGAGUUUAUAGAGACUUAAUUUU
rnacentral:lncRNA from 1 species